rnacentral:lncRNA from 1 species
UAAAACAAUAGUAUAAACUAAUUUGAACUCUGCCACAUAUAAUAGUUCAUCAUUUGACAUUUAACCAAGUGCAUACAACUCAUAGUUCAACAGUGCAUAGAGUACUAAAACCUAAUAGUUAUACAACCCAUAGUAAUUCUCUUGGUUGUCAUCAAAAGUACAAGUUAAUCAUCACAUAUGCAAUCACCAUCAUUCAUGUUCUCCCAAAGACCAUAGUAAAGAGCAAGGAAAUCCAAACUAAAAUCUGGGAGUACUUUCUUGUUCUCCCAAAGUCAUCACAUAUGCAAUCACCAUCAUUCAUGUACUUUUUUUGGUUUGGGCUCUUCAAGCAGGGGUUUCUUGGCUAUGUCUUCUUCAAGAUUAAUCACUUCUGUACCAAGAGGGUCAUUUGAGCAUUUUGCAUAUUGCCCCGUGGCCAUGCUUCCUCCAGCAAUAAUCACAUAAAGAAAGAAAUUCAGCAAGUGUUUGGACAUUGAGACAAUAUUAUAACAAGUAUUUGAGCUUAAAGAAAAAAAUUACAGCAAGCAUUUGACAUUAUGAAACCCAUUACGGCAAGUACUUUCACAUAAAGAGAAUUUCAGCAAGCCUUUGGACAUUGAGAUACUAAUUACAGCAAGUAUUUGAGCAUAAGGAAAAAAUGCAGCAAGCAAAUUUAGGUUCUAGUAAUCACAUGACACUUGAACAUGUGCACAAAAAUAAUUCAAUUGCACACCAUCUAUGUACAAAAUAAUGAUUUAUUUGGAACUAAAAGAUGUUUAACUAUGGCCAAAUAACCUCAGAUUGAAGGUGCUCUGCUCCAAGUUAUACUCAUAGUACUCUGCUACAGACUGCUUACAAAGAAUAGAAUAGGAUUUAUGGCUUCAAAUCACCUGCAAUAGACAAAGAAUAAUCAUUAACAUGGAGCACAAAUGCAUGCUCACGCAUCCAGUAACCUGCUACAAGCCGAACUCAAGACCACACGCAGGCUUGCUCAUGCAUGCACCAGACAUGCAUACAACCGCCAUCCAACCCUCAAUCUCCGGCCACGCACGCCAC